rnacentral:misc_RNA from 1 species
CACCCUUUUGCUAUACCCCUUUUAUUUCAGUCCCAAGAACUCUUGUUAAGACACUUACCUAUACUCUUUAGAGUAUUUACGAGCCGCCGAGGACUCGAACAUCUACUCUUGAAGGAAAUGAAAACUAAAUGACGAUGAAUGAAAUAAAAGAAGAUACUAGGAGUAACUAUUGACCUAAGUAAUCUAUUCUGAGAUGUAGUGCGACUGGAUAAAAAAG